UACCCGCAGCACAAGUGGUGGUCAUUAUUAUUGGGCCUAAAGCGUCCGUAGCUGGCUUGUUAGAUGCCUGGGUAAAUCGAUGCGCUCAACGCAUCGAACUCCGGGUAGACCGGCAAGCUUGGGACCGGGAGAGGCGUGAGCUACUCGAGGGGUAGGGGUAAAAUCCUGUAAUCCUUCGGGGAGGACCAGUGGCGAAGGCGUCACGCUAGAACGGCUCCGACAGUGAGGGACGAAGGCCCUGGGGCGCAAACCGG
rnacentral:rRNA from 1 species